AAGAGUUUAGAGGCUUCGGCCUACUACUCCACCCUUUGUUUACAAUACCUUUGUUGCUUUGGCAGGCGCUAACCAGCCGAAGGACCCAAAACUCAUGUUUAAAUUAUUGUCUGAGUACUAUAUAAUAGUUA
rnacentral:misc_RNA from 1 species